UUAAAAGAAAUUUUCUCUGACUUUGAUGCUAAAUACAGAGGAGCCUUUUGUGAAGCCAAGAUCAAGACAGCAAAAAGGCUUGUCAAAGUCAAGGUAACAUUUAGACAUGAUUCUUCAACGGUGGAAGUUCAGGAUGACCACAUAAAGGGCCCAUUAAAGGUUGGAGCUAUUGUGGAAGUGAAGAAUCUUGAUGGUGCAUAUCAGGAAGCUGUUAUCAAUAAAUUAACAGAUGCGAGUUGGUACACUGUAGUUUUUGAUGAUGGAGAUGAGAAGACACUGAGACGAUCUUCACUGUGCCUAAAGGGAGAGAGGCAUUUUGCUGAAAGUGAAACAUUAGACCAGCUCCCACUCACCAACCCUGAACAUUUUGGCACUCCAGUCAUAGGAAAGAAAACAAAUAGAGGAAGAAGAUCUAAUCAUAUACCAGAGGAAGAGUCUUCUUCAUCCUCCAGUGAUGAAGAUGAGGAUGAUAGGAAACAGAUUGAUGAGCUACUAGGAAAAGUUGUGUGUGUAGAUUAUGUUAGUUUGGAUAAAAAGAAAACACUAUGGUUUCCUGCAUUGGUGGUUUGUCCUGAUUGUAGUGAUGAAAUUGCUGUGAAAAAAGAUAAUAUUCUUGUUCGAUCUUUCAAAGAUGGCAAAUUUACUUCAGUGCCAAGAAAGGAUGUCCAUGAAAUUACUAGUGACACUGCACCAAAGCCUGAUGCUGUAUUAAAACAAGCCUUUGACCAGGCACUUGAAUUUCACAAAAGUAGAACUAUUCCUGCUAACUGGAAGACUGAAUUGAAAGAAGAUAGCUCUAGCAGUGAAGCAGAGGAAGAGGAGGAGGAGGAAGAUGAUGAGAAAGAAAAGGAGGACAAUAGCAGUGAAGAAGAGGAAAAUAAUACUAAUUUUCUUCAGCAGUUGUACAAAUUUAUGGAGGAUAGAGGAACACCAAUUAACAAACGACCUGUGCUUGGAUAUCGAAAUUUGAAUCUCUUUAAGUUAUUCAGACUUGUACACAAACUUGGAGGAUUUGAUAAUAUUGAAAGUGGAGCUGUUUGGAAGCAAGUCUACCAAGAUCUUGGCAUUCCUGUCUUAAAUUCAGCUGCAGGAUACAAUGUUAAGUGUGCUUAUAAAAAAUACUUAUAUGGUUUUGAGGAGUACUGUAGAUCGGCCAAUAUUGAAUUUCAGAUGGCAUUGCCAGAGAAAGUUGUUAACAAACCAUGUAAGGAGUGUGAAAAUGUAAAAGAAAUAAAAGUUAAGGAAGAAAAUGAACCAGAGAUCAAAGAAAUAAAGAUUGAAGAGGAAGAGAAGAUAGUACCAAAAGAAGAAAAGCCUGCUGAAGAUGACAUUGAAAGAAAGGAAAAUAUUAAACCCUCUCUGGGAAGUAAAAAGAAUUUAUUAGAAUCUAUACCUACACAAACUGAUCAGGAAAAAGAAGUGAACAUGAAAAAAACAGAAGAAAAUGAAAAUCUGGAAGAUAAAGAUGAUGUGACAACUGGGGUAGAUGAAUCCCUCAGCAUAAAGGUAGAAGCUGAAGAAGAAAAAGCAAAAUCUGGAGAUGAAACGAAUAAAGAGGAAGAUGAAGAUGAUGAAGAACCAGAAGAGGAGGAGGAGGAGGAGGAAGAAGAGGAUGAAGAUGAUGAUGACGCCAAUGAGGAAGAGGAGUUUGAAUGCUAUCCGCCAGGCAUGAAAGUCCAAGUGCGGUAUGGACGAGGGAAAAAUCAAAAAAUGUAUGAAGCUAGUAUUAAAGAUUCUGAUGUCGAAGGUGGAGAGGUCCUUUACUUGGUGCAUUACUGCGGAUGGAAUGUGAGAUAUGAUGAAUGGAUUAAAGCAGAUAAAAUAGUAAGGCCGGCUGAUAAAAAUGUGCCAAAGAUAAAACAUCGGAAGAAAAUAAAGGUAAGCGCUUAUUUUACAAAUUCAUCUCCUGAAAUGGUAUCUAAGCUGGAUCUUACUGAUGCCAAAAACUCCGAUACAGCUCAUAUUAAAUCCAUAGAAAUUACUUCUAUUCUUAAUGGACUUCAAGCUUCUGAAAGUUCUGCUGAAGACAGUGAGCAGGAGGAUGAGACAGGUACACACGACAUGGACAGCAAUGGCAAAGAGGAGUGUAAGGCUGACCAUUUAACGCACCCCAGGAGUGACCUUUCAAAAGAAGAGCAGAACAGUUCGUCUUUGCUAGAAGAAAACAAGGUCCACGCUGAUUUGGUAAUAUCUAAAACAGCAUCGAAAUCUCCAGAGAGAUUAAGAAAAGAUAUAGAAGGAUUAUCCGAAGAUACUGAUUAUGAAGAAGAUGAAGUCACAAAAAAGAGAAAGGAUGUCAAGAAGGACACCACAGAUAAAUCUUCAAAGCCACAAGUAAAACGUGGUAAAAGAAGAUAUUGCAAUACAGAGGAGUGUUCAAAAAACUGGAUCACCCAGCAAAAAGGACGAGAAGGCCAAGAACAAAGAAUCACUUUCAAGCUGACACCAACUAAGAAAUACAAUAACAGCAGAGCUAAAGAUCGAAAAGAUGUCUGGUCAAGUAUUCAGGGACAGUGGCCUAAAAAAACGCUGAAGGAGCUUUUUUCAGACUCUGACACUGAGGCUGCAGCUUCCCCACCCCACCCUGCCCCAGAGGAGGGCCUGGCAGAGGGGUCACUGCAGACCGUGGCUGAGGAGGAGAGCUGCUCACCCAGCGCCGAGCUAGAAACACCACCACCGGCCAUUGCCGACACGGAAUUUCCAAGUAGUGGCAGUAAUUCAGUGCUAAAUACCCCUCCUACCACCCCCGAAUCGCCUUCCUCCGUCACUGUCACGGAAGCCGGUCGGCAGCAGUCUUCUGUAACCGUAUCAGAAGCGCUGGCCCCAAACCAAGAAGAGGUCCGAAGUAUCAAGAGUGAAACUGAUAGCACAAUCGAGGUGGAUAGUGUUGCAGGGGAGCUCCAAGACCUGCAGUCGGAGGGGAACAGCUCGCCAGCAGGCUUUGACGCGAGUGUGAGCUCCAGCAGUAGUAACCAGCCAGAGCCAGAGCACCCUGAAAAAGCCUGUACAGGUCAGAAAAGAGGGAAAGAAGCUCAGGGAGGAGGAAGUGCAUCCAAAAAGCAGAAACGAAGCCAUAAAGCAACAGUGGUAAACAACAAAAAGAAGGGAAAAGGCACGAAUAGUAGUGAUAGUGAAGAACUUUCUGCUGGUGAAAGUGUAACUAAGACUCAGCCAGUCAAAUCAGUUUCUACUGGGAUGAAGUCGCAUAGUACCAAGUCUCCUGCAAGGACGCAGUCUCCAGGAAAAUGUGGGAAGAAUGGUGAUAAGGAUCCUGAUCUCAAGGAACCCAGUAAUCGAUUACCCAAAGUUUACAAAUGGAGUUUUCAGAUGUCGGACCUAGAAAAUAUGACAAGUGCUGAACGCAUCACAAUUCUUCAAGAAAAACUGCAAGAAAUCAGAAAACAUUAUCUGUCAUUAAAAUCUGAAGUAGCUUCCAUUGAUCGGAGGAGAAAGCGUUUAAAGAAGAAAGAGAGAGAAAGUGCUGCUACAUCCUCCUCCUCUUCUUCACCUUCAUCCAGUUCCAUAACAGCUGCUGUUAUGUUAACUUUAGCUGAACCAUCAAUGUCCAGCUCAUCACAAAAUGGAAUGUCAGUUGAGUGCAGGUGACAGCAGGACUUGCUAAAGCACUUUGCACUUAAUGGCUGUUGAGGGCCACGUCUUUUUUAUACUGCACAGUGGCACAAAAAAAAAAAAUCAGACAAGCACUAUUUUAUAUUUAAAAAUUGUUUCUUGACAAGCUGACUUGGCACUUAAGUGCACUUUUUUUAUGAAGAAAAAGUACAAUGAACUGCUUUUCCUCAAGCAAUAAUUGUUUCCAACUUGUCUGGGAAUUGUGUGUCUGGUAACUUGAAGGCCUUCCACUGUGGCAAAUGGAGGCUUUUCACUGCCUGUAGAGACAAUACAGUAAGCAUAGUUAUUGGGUUGGCCAGAACAUGGUAAGAUAACUUACUGUAUAUGUAUUCCCUUGUAUUUUGUUAAAGCUGGAGCAUUUGAUAUUUUUCCAUUUAUUUAUGAAAAAAUAUGAACCUAUUUUCAUUUGUACAAGCUAAUUGUUUUUUAAAGCAAGUCACCUUUGGGUGGCUUUAAUUGUAUAAGUCAAGCACAUGUAAUAAAUUCAAAACCUGCAGUUAACA
rnacentral:lncRNA from 1 species